rnacentral:tRNA from 1 species
ACCUGGGUGGCUCAGUCGAUUGAGCAUCCGACUUUGACUCAGGUUAUGAUCUUGUAGUUCGUGGGUUCAAACCCCGCAUCGGGCU